UUUUUUUAGCCUAUCUGAUGCAGCCUACCUGUCCUUUUUAGUAAUGCUUGAUACAUGGGUAGCGCCUUGGUUUAAAAGCACCUCCUCCUACACCUCUCAUCUGACCUCAACGCUAUCCUGCUUCUCAGAUGAGAACUCCACAGGCCACAGGGUUGAGGGAUCUGACAGACAUCAGGAGGGGACAGCGACAGGAACAAGCAAGAGUGUCUGAGAAGGGCUCCUCAAAGACCCACAGUAAGGAAAUACCUGUGACUAUCAACAGAAAUUAGACAUCUCCACUUCACAUCGCGGUUGCCGCAGAUCUCUUGAAAUACCAUUUGUGCAGACCACAACGUCAACACUACAGUAGGAGUUACCGCUGCCGCUGGCCCCUGCGGUUUCUGCCCUUCAUCAAGAAGCCAGUCUAGGACCCCCUCACAAGUGUGUUCUAAUCCUUUAGGCCCUGUGUCUUUUAAAUCACGUUUUCCGGGAAGGAGUACAAACUCUUCAGACUACCAAGCCCGCCAUUUAAAUUGGGAACUUCAGAGGCCGGAGCCCUGGAGCCGGAGACCCUCCCCGACAGCACAAGGUCGCCCGCAGCCCGCGCGCCCCCACCCCCUCGACCUCUUGGAGGUGGGGAUCCCCUCAGGGUUACCUGGGGGCCCCGUUAGGAACACGUGCCGGGCCAUACUGGUGGGCGGGGGUAGGGGUUGCGGUCAGGGGAGCAGUCCAGGUUGGGGUCGCAAUUCAGGUCAGGUCCGGACCAGGGUCGCGACUCAGGACCCGCCCACCGCGUGUCGCAGGCCCCGCCCCCAAGCGGUGCUUUGACCGGAAGCACCGCCCUCAAGACCACGCAUGCGCCUUCUCCCGAGUCCCCGGUCCGCGCCUGCGCAUUCAGCCCUCGGCAUUGGCGCCUGUGCCGCGGCAGUUCCUAUAGGCGGAGCGGGUUGUACGGUCUCUUAAGUUUCAUUCUGGGUUCAGGGCUUUUGUGGGGUAUUUGCAGAGAUAAGUGCGUGAGAACGUCAGUUAUUAAACUAUUGCUGCUUCAAGUCAGCGCCAUCACCCAAGUUCUGCCCCUUGACUCCGGACCUAGGAGCUGAAAUUGCCCAAGGCUGCCGGGACAGCCCUUUUGUAGAAGGUUUGUGACCUGGAAGCAUUCCUCAAAGGGGGAUGCCAUGUUAAUGACUCCAACUUUGUUCUCAAACAUUCCUGCAGAAUAGAAUCAGCUGGGGAGUUUUAAACUUGCUCUGAUGCCUGGGUUUCACCUGCAGUAAUAGGGAGUGUCAGAAGACAAAAUUACAAGUUUAGUUUAAAGAUCUAAUUGGCUUAUAUUUAGGAUCUAGAAUCGAGAAAUAGAUCAUUUCAUAAAGCAAAUAGAGUGUUCCAAUGAGUUGUGCAGAGGAGGUUGGCUUUAUGGGCAAAAAAAGGCUGAAGAACAAAACAAAGAGUGGGUAUUUCAAAGUUACUUUCCUUAUAGGGUUAAAACAGAUUGGACUUCGUUAUUGUACUGACUCAGGUUAACUACAAUCUCCUGUUUUUUGGGAAAACGGGCCUGUUUCAAAGUUCAGUUUGGUUACAUGGCACUUGGCACAAGUGACUCCAUUCUGGUUUGGUCUAGUCUGCUAGGACCUAGUGCAGGAGGUUAGUCCAAAACAAUGGCCUCCCAUAAAUCUUGUUUAACAUGAGUAAUUGGUCUUGAGCGAGUCUUGAGCACCUGUAUUCUUUUUUCUUCUUUCUAAACUCCAGGAAGUUCCUGAAGUGCGCUAGGGUUGAGAACCACUGGUGUAGGCAGGCUUCCCGUCCUCAGCCAUGCAUAGGACGCCCAGUUUUCCCUCUUUACUUUCACACCAAAGUGUAUAAAGAUCUCCUCUUGCAAAGAAUUAAAUAGCUUCUCCGUCUCACUUUACCACUGCAAGUGUUCCGGCCAACGAAUGACGUGGCAGUGGCCUUGGGCCACAUUUACCUGUAAACUCUUUCAGUCUAACAUGUGUACAGCUUAAUUUGUAGUCAGUCGUUCCCCAUCCUGGCUGAGAAAGCAGUUCAGUGAGUGCUCAACUUAAUUGGUUUCUGCCCACACAUGGACCUCUUGGUUUCCCUUUAGCCUGAGACAUAUGCCAGUCCAAUGAUUAUCUAAAAAAACAAAGUUGGAUUUGUAAAAUAUAGCUGUCAUCACCAUCAUUUCUGCAACAUUUGUAAUGCUCUAUUAUUAUAACAGUAUACUAUUUAUUAUCCCAACUGUUAAUGUAGGGCCUUCCACCUUGAUUUAUUUUGCAGUCCAUAUAUGUUGAAUACAGUGAAAAGUUGAUAUAGUAAAGUAAAUUCAUAGGAGGAGCUUCCAAAAAAAAGGAAAAAAGUAUAUGUAUCUCUUGUAUCAAAAGUACUCGUUUUAAAUGUUAAUCAGAUAGCAUUUUCCAUCACUGAAAAGCAGUUUGGAUUUGCAAGGCUCACCGGAAGUUGGGUUCUUUUGUUUUGUUGCUGUGCCUGGAAUUCUGGCAUCAGUUUAAGUAGCUCAAAGAUACAUGGAAUUCAGAUAUGGUGAAUCAACGUCUCACAAAACAGAAAAAAAGACUCCAUAGUUGAAUGUACUUUAUCCAUGGAAAAUGAAUUAUUUGGAUGGUAGUUCCACGGAUAUCUUCUUGUUAGAAAAUUCAUUGAUUUGAUGCUUAAUUUCUACAGUUUCCUGUAUGUGUUAUUAGGUAACAAUAACAAAAAAUUAAAUAGCUUAUAUCUCUUAGAGAUUAACAACAAAAGAAGAUGGCAUAAAUUGAAACAAAUUUUAAAAUAAAUGGGAUCUUAAAGUACUGUACCAUACUGAAUCCAACUUUUGCUUCCUAUCUAAUCAACAUCCAAUGGACGGAUGUUUGUGUCCCCCCAAAAUUCAUAUUGUUGAAAUCCUAACCCACAAGGUGAAGGUAUUAAAGUGUGGGGCCUUAAAGAAGCAAUUAGGUAAUCAGGUCACUAGAGUGGAGUCCUCAUGAAUGUGAUUAGUACCCUUAGAAAAAGGCGGGAGAAAACUUGCUUUCUAUCUCUCUGCUCUCUGCCAUGUGAAGAUACGAGGAGAAGACUGCUCUCUGUCAACCAAGAUGAGGGCCUUCCCCAAGAACCCAGUCGUGUUGGCACCCUGAUCUUAAACUUCAGCCUCCAGAGUUGUAAGAAAUAAAUGUUUUUUUGUUUAAGCCA